UUGGCGUGGAAUUUUGGUGACAAUAGGGCGAAAGCCUGAUCCAGCCAUGCCGCGUGUGUGAAGAAGGCUUCGGAUUGUAAAGCACUUUUGUUGGGAGGAAGGGCACUGAGUUAAUACCUUGCUGUUUUGACGUUACCGACAGAAUAAGCACCGGCUAACUUCGUGCCAGCAGCCGCGGUAAUAAA
rnacentral:rRNA from 1 species